rnacentral:rRNA from 1 species
UGAUCCUGGCUCAGAACGAACGCUGGCGGCAGGCCUAACACAUGCAAGUCGAACGAAGGCUUCGGCCUUAGUGGCGCACGGGUGAGUAACACGUGGGAACGUGCCCUUGGGUUCGGGAUAACGUCUGGAAACGGACGCUAAUACCGGAUGACCCCUGCGGGGGAAAGAUUUAUCGCCUGAGGAGCGGCCCGCGUCUGAUUAGGUAGUUGGUGGGGUAAUGGCCUACCAAGCCGACGAUCAGUAGCUGGUCUGAGAGGAUGAUCANGCCACACUGGGACUGAGACACGGCCCAGACUCCUACGGGAGGCAGCAGUGGGGAAUAUUGGACAAUGGGCGGAAGCCUGAUCCAGCCAUGCCGCGUGAGUGAUGAAGGCCUUCGGGUUGUAAAGCUCUUUCGCACGCGACGAUGAUGACGGUAGCGUGAGAAGAAGCC